GGGGGGGGGGGGGGGGGGGGGGGGGGGGGGGGGGGGGGGGGGGAGGGCCGGGCGGGGGCGGGAGCGGGCGCACGGGGGCGGAAGGCGGAUGCAACCUACCUUUCACAGGGGGAUAGGCCGAAGAAAUUUGGAGUAAUACGCCAUAAUAUUAUUGGAUGGCAUCAUUUGAUAAUUAAAACUGCGGUGGUUAAAGAGGGGCAUGCGUCCUAUGAGCUAGUUGGAGUGGUAACGGCACCCCAAGGCGACGAUAGGUAGGGGUCCUGAGAGGGAGAUCCCCCACACUGGUACUGAGACAGGGACCAGACUCCUACGGGAGGCAGCAGUGAGGAAUAUUGGUCACUGGUCGGAAGACUGAACCAGCCAUGCCGCGUGCAGGAAGAAUGCCUUAUGGGUUGUAAACUGCUUUUAUAUGGGAAGAAUAAGGCGUACGUGUACGUUGAUGACGGUACCAUAUGAAUAAGCAUCGGCUAACUCCGUG
rnacentral:rRNA from 1 species